rnacentral:rRNA from 1 species
GAAAGUCGGACUAAUAACCGCAUGAAGCAGGGAUCCCGCAUGGGGAGUAUUUGCUAAAGAUUCAUCGCUGAUAGAUAGGCAUGCGUUCCAUUAGGGCAGUUGGCGGGGGUAACGGGCCCACCAAACCGACGAUGGAUAGGGGUUCUGAGAGGAAGGUCCCCCACAUUGGUACUGAGACACGGACCAAACUCCUACGGGAGGCAGCAUG